GGGGAUGACAUGGCUUUGACAGCGUGUAGAGGUGGUAAGCAAGCAUGCAGAGCGAUAAUGGCAAUGCUCUAUAAUCUCAGUCAUUGACAAUUUAAUUGGCGAAAACAACUUUGCUCUCGCUGCCUAACCGAAGUAUAGUAAGUUGGCUUUAUUGCUGCCCAAGGCGGUAGCAACGAGACAUCACCCGAUUGCCCAUUUUCCGAGGCGUUUCGAUAUGGUGGUGCAGGAAUAUCGGAAAUAGCUGAAUUUGUGUCUCGAAGAUUCGGCGAAAUUUAGAGAAUAAGCGAUGAGUUGGUGGUCUUGAUCCUGCUGAUCGUCGAAAAUGAAGUCAAGACUAAGCAUGUAGAAACCUUAUUAGUUCCGCGUUUGGACGAGGGUUCAAUCCCCUCCAUCUCCACA
rnacentral:tmRNA from 1 species